AUGCCAGGAGACGACCUCGUAAUUGUGAAAGAGGAGGCAGUUCCCCCUGUAUAUGUAACAUUAGACAGAAGACAUAGUCUGAGCAGACUAAAACUCCAUCCUCAGUUCUAUAGUAAUGAGGACAACCAAUCAGUGCCCUCUGUUUCUGAGAUCCAAGUUGAGAGUCACAACUUCCUGACACCCGACCAUGAUAAAAUUGAAUACGACAAGGAUGUGACUGAGGAAAUCAUUCAUGCACCAAAUGUGACUGAUGUGUGGAGCGUCAUACCUGGAGGGGACAAAUCAGAGAACCUCCUCCCCCAGACCUCCCCCUUCUCUGGGGCUGCUGUUGCUUCAUCUCUCUGCUUCCUGGAGUUGGAGCCCUUACAGAGGGCGUCUGACCCUCCACAGCUUGAGAAAGCAAUGAAAUGUUUCUGCCGGGACUCCCAGGAUGCAGUGGACCAACCAGAGAUCCUGACAUCCUGUGCCCUCACUGAGACCACCCAGGACCUUUACUCUGAGCUCCACCAGACCUUUUGUUCUCUGGAGGAGCUGGGAAGUGCAGGGCCCAGUGGCCCAGAUACAGAGAAAGGGUCUACCCUGGAGGGGGAACUGGACAGUGGGGGCUCUGGGAGGUAUAUCCGGCCCUUCUCUCUCCAGGACUCCUCCCUGCUCAUCCCCCGUCGGAGGUCCGUACGCUCCAGACAGCUCCAGAUCCCUGGAGUCCCUCUGUCCCACAGAAUCAACUCCAGACGCAAUCCCCCAGCUCAGCCCCUCCUCAGCCCCAGAGACAUCCAGAGACAGGUUACCUGGAGGGGAGAAGGCCUUGCACAAGGAGGCGGCAGCAUGCUUCAGAUGCACCCCAGAGGAUAGGCUGGGUCACUGUAAGCUGGACAACUGGUGGAAACAAGCCCUGGAGACCUAAAGGGCAUCCACUGGCCUGUUACCUGCCAUAGAGCAGGUAUCCACCAUAGAGCAG
rnacentral:lncRNA from 1 species